GAUGAACGCUAGCGGGAGGCCUAAUACAUGCAAGUCGAACGGUAACAGGGUAGCAAUACCGCUGACGAGUGGCGCACGGGUGAGUAACACGUACACAACCUGCCUUAUACUGGAGCAUAGCCUUGGGAAACUAAGAUUAAUUCUCCAUAAUAUUACGAAGCGGCAUCGCUUUGUAAUUAAAAUUCCGAUGGUAUAAGAUGGGUGUGCGUCUGAUUAGCUAGUUGGCGAGGUAACGGCUCACCAAGGCAACGAUCAGUAACUGGUCUGAGAGGAUGAUCAGUCACACGGGCAAUGGGACACGGGCCCGACUCCUACGGGAGGCAGCAGUAGGGAAUAUUGGUCAAUGAGCGCAAGCCUGAUCCAGCCAGCCCGCGUGAAGGAUUAAGGCCCUAUGGGUUGUAAACUUCUUUUCUCUGGGAAUAAAAACCGGUAUUCAUACUGGCUUGAAGGUACCAGAGGAAUAAGCACCGGCUAACUCCGUGCCAGCCGCCGCAGUAA
rnacentral:rRNA from 1 species